CUCGUAGGUGGCCAACUAAGUCAGACGUGAAAUCCCCAGGCUUAACCUGGGAACUGCGUCUGAUACUGGAUGGCUUGAAUUCGGGAGAGGGAUGCAGAAUUCCAGGUGUAGCGGUGAAAUGCGUAGAUAUCUGGAGGAAUACCGGUGGCGAAGGCGGCAUCCUGGACCGAGAUUGACACUGAUGAGCGAAAGCCAGGGGAGCAAACG
rnacentral:rRNA from 1 species